rnacentral:rRNA from 1 species
GAUGAACGCUGGCGGCGUGCCUAAUACAUGCAAGUCGAGCGAAUGGAUUAAGAGCUUGCUCUUAUGAAGUUAGCGGCGGACGGGUGAGUAACACGUGAGUAACCUGCCCAUAAGACUGGGAUAACUCCGGGAAACCGGGGCUAAUACCGGAUAACAUUUUGAACCGCAUGGUUCGAAAUGGAAAGGCGGCUUCGGCUGUCACUUAUGGAUGGACCCGCGUCGCAUUAGCUAGUUGGUGAGGUAACGGCUCACCAAGGCAACGAUGCGUAGCCGACCUGGGAGGGUGAUCGGCCACACUGGGACUGAGACACGGCCCAGACUCCUACGGGAGGCAGCAGUAGGGAAUCUUCCGCAAUGGACGAAAGUCUGACGGAGCAACGCCGCGUGAGUGAUGAAGGCUUUCGGGUCGUAAAACUCUGUUGUUGGGGAAGAACAAGUGCUAGUUGAAUAAGCUGACACCUUGACGGUACCUAACCAGAAAGCCACGGCUAACUACGUGCCAGCCGCCGCAGUAA